rnacentral:rRNA from 1 species
GGGCCCGCACAAGCGGUGGAGCAUGUGGUUUAAUUCGAUGAUACGCGAGGAACCUUACCAGGGCUUAAAUGGGAAAUGACAGGGGCAGAGACGCCCCCUUCUUCGGACAUUUUUCAAGGUGCUGCAUGGUUGUCGUCAGCUCGUGCCGUGAGGUGUCAGGUUAAGUCCUAUAACGAGCGCAACCCCUACCGUUAGUUGCCAGCGUGUAAUGACGGGGACUCUAACGGAACUGCCGGUGCAAACCGUGAGGAAGGUGGGGACGACGUCAAAUCAUCACGGCCCUUACGUCCUGGCCACACACGUGCUACAAUGGUAGGUACAGAGGGAAGCAAGACUGCGAAGUUAAGCAAA